rnacentral:piRNA from 1 species
UGGUGAGAACUGACAAAUGUGGUAGGUGGU